rnacentral:tRNA from 1 species
GACUCGGUAGCUUAGUUGAUAAAGCACUUGUCUAGCGAAUAAGGGUCGUGAGUUGAAAUCAAUAAGGGUCGUGAGUUCAAAUCUCACCUGAGCUG